GAAAUUGGGGAUCUGGGACGUUGAGAGCGUUGGAAGGUUUGUGUUUGAAGAAGAGUGUACCCGGAAGAUGAGUGGCGGGUGCAGUAACUACAGUACAGGGACCCUGCCUGACCGGCCUGGCUCGGCGUCAACAUGAUCAAGGCAUGCGGUGGCCGCCAGAUCAUGAUGGGACACAUUUUAGUGCUGCCAGCACCAUCAAGGACACCUACAUACAAAGUCCUAACCCGCCUUGAGUGGACUGAUUGAGCCGCUGAUUAGCUCGCCAGCCCCCGAGGCCAUGACUUUGGGAUGCCGGCCAGUUUUGACCUUUCAUCUUUCUUGGUAUGAAUCGGCACAUGACGCUGUAGCUGGAUAGCUGUGGGUGUCUCCAGGACCAGGAGACUGCAUCUGAAAGUAGCAGAACCCUGUUUGCAAGACAGUACAAUCCUGAUCAUUGUCAUAGGGAUUCUCACGUCUGUUAGGGAAAGUCCCUUUCAUGGAUAUGAGUUGCAUAGCUAGUACCAGUAGAACGUGUAGUAGUAGUAGUGCCCCCGACUGUAUCUUGUUACGGUACGUCUUCCCAUGGUUACUUCGGUGGACGUGCCGUCACAAGAUGCAGUACAAUGCUAUUGUAGCGCCAGGCUGCUGGACUGCAGCACAUGAGUGGAUGAUAACUGGCCAGGAACACCCGGAGCUGCCGAUGAUGAACUUGCACAAGUGCCCGAGCCAUGCAGUACUGCCCGUCCACCAAAGUGAGUAUACUGUAUACUAAACUGAAGUGCUAUCAUGUCCUGUGGGUACUGAGUCAACUGUCUGUUCAAUUAUGCUACGUAUCCACAGCAGGUGACUUCCGCAUUCAGCACCCCGAAGACAACAACUGGUGAAAAUUUGAUUUUCGGGUAUACUCCCCCUUUAAGGAAGGAAUUAGUUCCUGAUGGCCACCGGCAGGAUAUCAAACCAAUGACCUCACUGUAUAAGCCUCACCUCUGCGUGCUUUGUACAUGUACUUCGUCCUCCUUUUCUGUGAGCGAGUUUUCAACACCUCA